UUCCUGCUUCUAUUGCUUUAUUCGCUAAGUAAUUUGGUACUCCUAAACCAAAUUCAAAAUUGAUCUCUGAUGUGACGCCCCCAAAAUAGGUCCACACAACUCAUUCUGAGUCGUCAAAUAUAUACUACAAAAUUCAAAUACAAAUUUUCCUAUUUACAACUACUAAACUGUCGUGCAAAAUACGACAACACAUAUACUGUGAGUUUUAAUAUAAAUAUUGUAACGUAUAUAAUAUGACAAUAUCCCCACUCAAAUUAAGUACUCAUUACAAUUAUUGCCACACUAUUUUACAACAGUGUGAGUACUACUAUAGUAACUAUCUCGGACCAUUACUUCAUUCCCCGGCUAGUCCCAGCUACACUCUCAUUUCCUGAGAAUUGAAGGAACAAAAAGGGUGAGCUCAACUAGCCCAAUAAAAAAUAUUCUGACUAAGAUAAUGAAGAAUAAUUUAUUUUUAGCUUUCAACAAUGAUAAAUUAGAUAAAAUAUAAUAGGCAACAAGUUUUAGAACAACAAAUGCAGUGGAACAAGCAAUCCAUUAGAAGAGUUAGGUAGAUCAUGAUGUCUACUAUCUUUUAUGAUUUAAAAAUUUAUAAUCAAUAUUUUAUCCAUGUAGCACCAAUUAACAGUUUAUAUUUGUACUACGGGCCAAAGAUAUUCAUUUGUAUCACCAGUGGUCACGAUCAUGCCAAACAACAGUAAAUCUUUGUACUACAAGCCAAAGAGAACUCUCACCAUAAGCUUUUAUAUGUAACACCAAAGUUCAUGAUUAUACCAAUACAUAAUUUCUGGUCAUAAUCAUACCAAUCGAUAGUCCAUCUUUGCACUACGGGCCAAAUAUAACUUUUCACCUCAAUUUAAGUCUAAGGAUGAUGACAAUGAUAUAAAGGAUGAAUAAAAGUGAGAUCAAUGAUAAAUAUUAAAGAUUUAUAAUUUAAUUUAUCCAGAGUUCAAGAAUAUCCAAAUUGUCAACAUGAUAACCAAUUGUGGAGUAAAAUUCAAGAAUGAUAUUUAAAACUUAUAUUUUAGAGAUAAUUUGGACAAGAAAAGAAAAAUAAAUUCCCCCGUGAAUAGUAAUCCGGCACAAAUAGUACCCUAGCGUGAAUAGAACCCCGGCGUGAACAGUACUCCGACAUUUAAAAUUUAAUAAGAAAGUUUCAGGUAAUAAAUUAUUCAAGUGAAAAUGAUAUUAGAUGAAGCGCAAACCUCAAGAACUUUCUAAUUAUUUCAGGAAUUAUAGAAGCAAUAUCAUAGUAAGUUUAUAUUUUGAAAUAUGAAUUGAAAUAAUAUCACUUACAUAAUAUGUAGUAUGAAAGAAAAUGAUACCCUUUACAAGUAUUGAAAUAAAAUAAUAUCGUUUACCUUAGUAGGAGACUAGAUCUGACUGGUAUAAAAGAGAUUAUCCUGAGGGAAUCUGACACUAUUAGCUACACUCAACGUAUACUUAUACUCGAAAGAAAUACUCACGAUAUUGAAGUAGAAGAGUUUU
rnacentral:lncRNA from 1 species